CCCACCAGCUUCCUACCGCCCGUGGUCGCAAGUUGUAAACCGCGCGGCGCCAAUCUUCGCCAUUUUGUUUUUCUUGAAAACCGCAUUGUCGGCACCCGUGUUGGAGUGCUUAUAAUUGUGAAGUUUUUAGUUUUUAUUGCGAUAAUUGAGUGUAUUUCAAUACUUGGUUGUUAUUUAAUUUGAUUUUUUCUAAGAUGUCGGAUCGAGAGAGGAGCCGUUCUAGAACUCGUAAUGGGUCUCGCGAGCCUGUACCAAAGCCUCCAGCCAUGUCUCGCCAUAGCAGAAGCCGGUCUAGAACACCUCCCCCGCCUAAAUCAUCAAGUCGAAAAUACAGGAGCCCGUCGCGUUCCCGCUCGGUGUCACCACGUCGCUACCGUUCAGCCCGCUACUCACGCUCUCGCUCCCGGUCAUAUUCGCGAGGCCGGUCCCACUCUCACAGCCCUAUGUCAUCCAGGCGCCGGCAUACUGGUGACCGGGUGAGUCUGGAGAACCCAACACCGUCCCGUUGUCUGGGAGUGUUUGGGCUAAGUUUGUACACCACCGAACAACAAAUUCACCACAUUUUCUCCAAAUUUGGGAAUGUUGACAAAGUUCAAGUAGUUAUUGAUGCAAAGACUGGCCGUUCCCGUGGAUUCUGCUUUGUAUAUUUUGAGUCGCAAGAGGAUGCUAAGGUGGCAAAGAACGAGUGCACUGGCAUGGAAAUAGACGGCAGACGGAUUAGGGUUGAUUUCUCAAUCACACAAAGAGCACAUACUCCUACACCAGGGAUAUAUAUGGGCAAGCCCACACAUUUGAACCGAGGUGACAAUGGCUAUGAAAGACGUCGGGACCGAGACGACUACUACUACCGCGGCGGUGGUGGUGGCGGCGGCGGCGGAGGCGGCGGUGGCGGCGGCGGCUACAGAGAGCGAGACUACUACGCGAGAGGAUACCGGCACCGAUCUCCGUCGCCGCACUACCGCAGGUCGCGGCGCUACGAGAGGGAGCGGUCCUAUUCGCCACGUAAGUACCACCCUUAGCGGUACUCUGACAUUUUGACAUUGUAUAUAUAUAUAUAAAUUCACAAAUUACUUGACUUGUGUUAUGUGUCCCUAUAUAAUUUAAAAAAUGAUAACCAUGGUAACCAAUAUAGUGCUUUAUUUGAUAUUGUAUGACAGAAUGUAUUAAAAAUUGUGUUUUUUCUACUAAUUAUAAUAAAUAUAAAGCGAGGUUUAAGACUUCAUUAUCUAUAAUUUGACAUAGUUAUCAUAUUGUAAAUAUUGCCCAAAAAUAUACUAGUUAUAUUUAUUCUAAAUAAUUUGUAUCAGUUUUAAAUAGUCUAUUAAUAAUCACUUUCGCUAUUUUUACAUUCAACUUAUGUUCUACAGAAGUUCGGACAAUGUGAAAUUGUUCUAGAGUACUCCUGAUAAUUGCUUCUUAAAUAAAUGACUGAAAGCCAAAACUUACGAACAAUAUUUGUAUAAAAAAACUAGUAGUCUGGGCUGAAAGAGAGCCGGUUGUAAAUGCGGGACUAAUAUGAUUCUAAUUUACGCGUCUUUUUAAUUAAUUAUAUACAGUAAUCCGCCCUAAUACGCGUUUUCGUAUAACGCGAUUUCCUUGCCCCUUAUAACGCGGAGAUUUCUCAAGUUAUAUUUUAGUAGUGUGAAAUUUAUAAUGAUUUGUCAACCCGUUUCAAUUGUGUUAUAAAAUUAAACUUAAAAAACUUUUAUUAAAUGUGUGUUCCUAGUUUUUGAAUUAUUCAAAAAAUAUGACACUAUAGCAUUGUCAAUAUAAAAAAAGGUAAUUUAGUACUCUUGCUACCUCUAAUCUUACGACGGUGUUCUUUCCGCAAAGACUCAAAUAACUAAGUUUACAAAUGUUUUUGAAAGAUUUUGUGCUUUUUGUUCUUAAAAUUUCAAUAAUUAAUUCCCUUUUGCUCUAUAUUUUAUUAGUUAAUCGCAUUUGACACUAUUGUUAACCAUUUCAUAUAAUAUAAUCCCCAAAUUAAUUUAGAUCUCCACCACCCUAAGCAUUGUUUACACUCUUAAGGUAAGUAUUAUUCAGGUUGCUGGAGAUUUUAGAACAUAUCCAUAUAGGUACAUAUAUGUAUUGUAGUAAAUGUUUGGUAUGUAUAUAUUUAUAGUAUAGCGAUGCCCGUCUCCAGUAUAAUAGUCGCGUGUCGGCGUGUAUCGUGUAUUACAUGGGUUUUUGACUUUGCAGGUCGGUAUUAGGUUCGCGACGUGACGUCACUUCAGCCAUAACUUUUAGCACCCAAAGCCGGCCAUUGCAUUUAUUGAACCUGCCCUCGGCUCGGCACCGAGUGCGGGUGCGAUGAGGGUCCUUAGUUGUAUUGAAACAAGAAGUAAAGGAUGAAGUUCCUUGAAAAACUAACUGUGUUGAAGUUUUGAAUGUUUGAAAUGUAUCGGUGGCCGGACUGCGCCGAAUUCUGCCUGAGCGAAUUAAAAGAGUAUGAUCACGUGAAGCACGGAAGAUCGCCCUCAGAUCAUAGUCUUUACAUACGUUUACACACACAGAUAUUUUUUAAGCGACUCGUGCGUAUUUCUAUUCGAUUCCGUAGAUGUAAUUAUAUUUAGUUUGGUGAUAUUGCAUUCUAGUGUAGACUUUGUGAACGAGUUGUUAAUAAAUAAUGAUUUUUCCAA